GACGUAGGGGGCGAGCGUUGUCCGGAUUUAUUGGGCGUAAAGCGCGCGUAGGCGGCUUGUCACGUCGGGUGUGAAAGCCCGGGGCUUAACCCCGGGUCUGCAUUCGAUACGGGCAGGCUAGAGUGUGGUAGGGGAGAUCGGAAUUCCUGGUGUAGCGGUGAAAUGCGCAGAUAUCAGGAGGAACACCGGUGGCGAAGGCGGAUCUCUGGGCCAUUACUGACGCUGAGGAGCGAAAGCGUGGGGAGCGAACAGG
rnacentral:rRNA from 1 species